rnacentral:rRNA from 1 species
AUGCCCGCGUGAUGACAUGAACCACGWAAAUAAGCCCCGGCUAACUACGUGCCUGCWGCCUCCCUUACACGUAGGGGGCAAGCGUUGUUCGGAAUUACUGGGCGUAAAGGGCAUGUAGGCGGUUUUGUAAGCCUGACGUGAAAGGCUAUGGCUCAACCAUGGCAUUGCGUUGGGAACUGCGGGACUUGAGUUACGGAGAGGGAGCUGGAAUUCCAGGAGUAGGGGAGAAAUCUGUAGAUAUCUGGAAGAACACCRGUGGGCAACGGAAGCUCCUGGCCGAUGACUGACGMUGAGGUGCGAAAGUGAGGGGAUCAAACAGGAUUACAGACCCUGGUAGUCCUCACUGUCAACGAUGUGCACUAGGUGCUGGGGCGGACGCUUCCCUGCCGGAGCUAACGCUGUAAGUGCACCGCCUGGGGAG